rnacentral:rRNA from 1 species
CAAUAGCGUAUAUUAAAGUUGUUGCAGUUAAAAAGCUCGUAGUUGGAUUUCUGGUAGGAGCGACCGUGCCGAACUUGAUUGUUCGAGUAUUGUGUUGUCUUCAGCCAUCCUCGUGGAGAACUUUUCUAACAUUAACUUGUUGGGAUUGGGACCCGCGUCGUUUACUGUGAAAAAAUUAGAGUGUUUAAAGCAGGCAUUAGCUUGAAUACAUUAGCAUGGAAUAAUAAGAUAGGACUUUGGUACUAUUUUGUUGGUUUGCAUACCAAAUUAAUGAUCAACAGGAACAGUUUGAGGAUAUUCGUAUGAACAUGUCAGAGGUGAAAUUCUUGGAUUUUGAUCAGACGAACUACUGCGAAAGCAUUUAUCAAGGAUGUUUUUAUUAA